rnacentral:rRNA from 1 species
GACGAACGCUGGCGGCGUGCUUAACACAUGCAAGUCGAACGGAAAGGCCCUGCUUUUGUGGGGUGCUCGAGUGGCGAACGGGUGAGUAACACGUGAGUAACCUGCCCUUGACUUUGGGAUAACUUCAGGAAACUGGGGCUAAUACCGGAUAGGAGCUCCUGCUGCAUGGUGGGGGUUGGAAAGUUUCGGCGGUUGGGGAUGGACUCGCGGCUUAUCAGCUUGUUGGUGGGGUAGUGGCUUACCAAGGCUUUGACGGGUAGCCGGCCUGAGAGGGUGACCGGCCACAUUGGGAGUGAGAUACGGCACAGACUCCUACGGGAGGCAGGAGUGGGGAAUAUUGCACAAGGGGCGGAAGCCUGAUGCAGCAACGCCGCGUGCGAGAUGACGGCCUUCGGGGUGUAAACCGCUUGCGCCUGUGACGAAGCGUGAGUGACGGUAAGGGGUAAAGAAGCACCGGCUAACUACG